rnacentral:snoRNA from 1 species
CUCCAUGUGUCUUUGGGACCUGUCGGCUGUGGCAGUCUCCCUUCCUAGCCAUGGAAGAGCAUAUUCAUUUAAUUGGUAUCAGAUUCUGACUUGUACAAGUAACAUUC